rnacentral:rRNA from 1 species
GUCCACGCCGUAAACGAUGGAUACUAGCUGUUCGGAGCAAUCUGAGUGGCUAAGCGAAAGUGAUAAGUAUCCCACCUGGGAGUACGCACGCAAGUGUGAAACUCAAAGGAAUUGACGGGGCCCGCACAAGCGGUGGAGCAUGUGGUUUAAUUCGAUGAUACGCGAGGAACCUUACCAGGGCUUAAAUGUAGAUUGACAGGACUGGAAACAGUUUUCUUCGGACAAUUUACAAGGUGCUGCAUGGUUGUCGU